AUUGAACGCUGGCGGCAGGCCUAACACAUGCAAGUCGAACGGUAGCACAGAGAGCUUGCUCUCGGGUGACGAGUGGCGGACGGGUGAGUAACGUCUGGGAAACUGCCCGAUGGAGGGGGAUAACUACUGGAAACGGUAGCUAAUACCGCAUAACGUCGCAAGACCAAAGUGGGGGACCUUCGGGCCUCACACCAUCGGAUGUGCCCAGAUGGGAUUAGCUAGUAGGUGGGGUAAUGGCUCACCUAGGCGACGAUCCCUAGCUGGUCUGAGAGGAUGACCAGCCACACUGGAACUGAGACACGGUCCAGACUCCUACGGGAGGCAGCAGUGGGGAAUAUUGCACAAUGGGCGCAAGCCUGAUGCAGCCAUGCCGCGUGUAUGAAGAAGGCCUUCGGGUUGUAAAGUACUUUCAGCGGGGAGGAAGGCGGUGAAGUUAAUAGCUUCACCGAUUGACGUUACCCGCAGAAGAAGCACCGGCUAACUCCGUGCCAGCAGCCGCCGUAA
rnacentral:rRNA from 1 species